rnacentral:rRNA from 1 species
UACGUAGGGGGCAAGCGUUGUCCGGAUUUAUUGGGCGUAAAGAGCGUGUAGGCGGCCAGACAGGUCCGUUGUGAAAACUCGAGGCUCAACCUCGAGACGCCGAUGGAAACCGUCUGGCUAGAGUCCGGAAGAGGAGAGUGGAAUUCCUGGUGUAGCGGUGAAAUGCGCAGAUAUCAGGAAGAACACCCGUGGCUAAGGCGGCUCUCUAGUACGGUACUGACGCUGAGACGCGAAAGCGUGGGGAGCGAGCAGG